rnacentral:rRNA from 1 species
AUACGGAGGGUCCAAGCGUUAUCCGGAAUCAUUGGGUUUAAAGGGUCCGUAGGCGGACUAAUAAGUCAGAGGUGAAAUCCCACAGCUUAACUGUGGAACUGCCUUUGAUACUGUUAGUCUUGAGUUAUAUGGAAGUAGAUAGAAUGUGUAGUGUAGCGGUGAAAUGCUUAGAGAUUACACAGAAUACCGAUUGCGAAGGCAGUCUACUACAUAUAUACUGACGCUAAUGGACGAAAGCGUGGGGAGCGAACAGGAUUAGAAACCCUAGUAGUCCC